ACACGAUAUGCGGUUCACAGCAGGCAUCUAACGUGAACGAAAUGUGAAGGAGAAGGAUGGGGAUGCGUCUGAUUAGCUUGUUGGCGGGGUAACGGCCCACCAAGGCGACGAUCACUAGGGGUUCUGAGAGGAAGGUCCCCCACAUUGGAACUGAGACACGGUCCAAACUCCUACGGGAGGCAGCAGUGAGGAAUAUUGGUCAAUGGACGAGAGUCUGAACCAGCCAAGUAGCGUGCAGGAUGACGGCCCUAUGGGUUGUAAACUGCUUUUAUAGGGGGAUAAAGUGUGCCACGUGUGGCAUAUUGCAGGUACCCUAUGAAUAAGGACCGGCUAAUUCCGUGCCAGCAGCCGCGGUAAUACGGAAGGUCCAGGCGUUAUCCGGANUUUAUUGGGUUUAAAGGGAGCGUAGGCCGUUUGGUAAGUGUGUUGUGAAAUGUCCGGGGCUCAACCCUGGGCAUUGCAGCGCGAACUGCCAGACUUGAGUGCGCAGGAAGUAGGCGGAAUUCGUCGUGUAGCGGUGAAAUGCUUAGAUAUGACGAAGAACUCCGAUUGCGAAGGCAG
rnacentral:rRNA from 1 species